GGAGAGAUGGCCGAGUGGCCGAAGGCGCACGCCUGGAAAGUGUGUAUACGGCAACGUAUCGAGGGUUCGAAUCCCUCUCUCACCGCCA
rnacentral:tRNA from 1 species